UGGGGAUAACCUUGCGAAAGUAAGACUAAUACCCAAUGACGUCUCUAGAAGACAUCUGAAGGAGAUUAAAGAUUUAUCGGUGAUGGAUGGGGAUGCGUCUGAUUAGCUUGUUGGCGGGGUAACGGCCCACCAAGGCGACGAUCAGUAGGGGUUCUGAGAGGAAGGUCCCCCACAUUGGAACUGAGACACGGUCCAAACUCCUACGGGAGGCAGCAGUGAGGAAUAUUGGUCAAUGGGCGAGAGCCUGAACCAGCCAAGUAGCGUGCAGGAAGACGGCCCUAUGGGUUGUAAACUGCUUUUAUAAGGGAAUAAAGUGAGUCUCGUGAGACUUUUUGCAUGUACCUUAUGAAUAAGGACCGGCUAAUUCCGUGCCAGCAGCCGCGGUAAUACGGAAGGUCCGGGCGUUAUCCGGAUUUAUUGGGUUUAAAGGGAGCGUAGGCCGGAGAUUAAGCGUGUUGUGAAAUGUAGACGCUCAACGUCUGCACUGCAGCGCGAACUGGUUUCCUUGAGUACGCACAAAGUGGGCGGAAUUCGUGGUGUAGCGGUGAAAUGCUUAGAUAUCACGAAGAACUCCGAUUGCGAAGGCAGCUCACUGGAGCGCAACUGACGCUGAAGCUCGAAAGUGCGGGUAUCGAACAGGAUUAGAUACCCUGGUAGUCCGCACGGUAAACGAUGGAUGCCCGCUGUUGGCCUGAACAGGUCAGCGGCCAAGCGAAAGCAUUAAGCAUCCCACCUGGGGAGUAC
rnacentral:rRNA from 1 species